rnacentral:rRNA from 1 species
CCUACGGGAGGCUGCAGUGGGGAAUAUUGGACAAUGGGCGAAAGCCUGAUCCAGCCAUGCCGCGUGUGUGAAGAAGGCCUUCGGGUUGUAAAGCACUUUCAGUGGAGAAGAAAGCCUUGGGGCUAAUACCCUCGAGGAAGGACAUCACCCACAGAAGAAGCACCGGCUAACUCCGUGCCAGCAGCCGCGGUAAUACGGAGGGUGCGAGCGUUAAUCGGAAUUACUGGGCGUAAAGCGCGCGUAGGCGGUCUGAUAAGCCGGUUGUGAAAGCCCCGGGCUCAACCUGGGAACGGCAUCCGGAACUGUCAGGCUAGAGUGCAGGAGAGGAAGGUAGAAUUCCCGGUGUAGCGGUGAAAUGCGUAGAGAUCGGGAGGAAUACCAGUGGCGAAGGCGGCCUUCUGGACUGACACUGACGCUGAGGUGCGAAAGCGUGGGUAGCAAACAGGAUUAGAUACCCUAGUAGUC